rnacentral:rRNA from 1 species
AUGAAUUUCCUUGGUUUUUUGCAUCAGGUUCUUCUGUAUAUCGACGCUCGCUGCUUUGGCAAAGGCCCUUAUAACCUACACCGGCUAGGACUAGCCAAGAUCUCGCCGCAGUUGUCUUCAACUCUUCAUGCACUUGUCUUUGCAACCUUUUGGACACACUGCUACUAUUUUGCUUGUGUGUUUGCAAAUCCAGGUUUUGGUGCUCAUAGAGUAAUGCCCAAGAUCUGCUGA